CGGAGGCAGCAGUGAGGAAUAUUGCUCAAUGGGCGAAAGCCUGAAGCAGCAACGCCGCGUGCGCGAUGAAGGCCUUCGGGUCGUAAAGCGCUUUUGAGAGGGACGAGAUAGGACGGUACCUCUUGAAUAAGUCACGGCUAACUACGUGCCAGCAGCCGCGGUAAAACGUAGGUGGCAAGCGUUAUCCGGAUUCAUUGGGCGUAAAGCGCGUGCAGGUGGCUUUGUAAGUUGGACGUUAAAUCUCCCAGCCUAACUGGGAGUGGUCGUUCAAUACUGCGAGGCUUGAGGGCAGAAGAGGGGGGUGGAAUUGCUGGUGUAGUGGUGAAAUGCGUAGAUAUCAGCAGGAACACCUGUGGCGAAAGCGGCCCCCUGGUUUGCUCCUGACACUCAGACGCGAAAGCUAGGGGAGUGAACGGGAUUAGAUACCCCGGU
rnacentral:rRNA from 1 species